rfam:Vibrio cholerae O1 biovar eltor str. N16961 chromosome I, complete sequence.
AAACCUAAUUGUUUAAAUCACACACAUUCCGACACGUAUUCCGGGGUGCUCCAAGUGGAGUCGGAUAUACGGGGGAUGUGGAGGCCUAAC